UACAGAGGGUGCGAGCGUUGUCCGGAAUCACUGGGCGUAAAGGGCGCGUAGGUGGCGCUCCAAGUCUGUGGUGAAAGCUCGAUGCUCAACAUCGAGUCGGCCAUAGAGACUGGAGGGCUCGAGCACUGUAGGGGCAGAUGGAAUUCCGGGUGUAGCGGUGGAAUGCGUAGAGAUCCGGAGGAAGACCGGUGGCGAAGGCGGUCUGCUGGGCAGUUUCUGACACUGAGGCGCGACAGCGUGGGGAGCAAACAGG
rnacentral:rRNA from 1 species